CUACGGGGGGCUCCAGUGGGGAAUAUUGCACAAUGGAGGAAACUCUGAUGCAGCAACGCCGCGUGGAGGAUGACACUUUUCGGAGCGUAAACUCCUUUUAUAUAGGAAGAAGAUGACGGUACUAUAUGAAUAAGCGCCGGCUAACUCCGUGCCAGCAGCCGCGGUAAUACGGAGGGCGCAAGCGUUACUCGGAAUCACUGGGCGUAAAGAGCGUGUAGGCGGAUUAAAAAGUCAGAAGUGAAAUCCUAUAGCUUAACUAUAGAACUGCUUCUGAAACUCUUCAUCUAGAGUAUGGGAGAGGUAGAUGGAAUUUCUGGUGUAGGGGUAAAAUCCGUAGAGAUCAGAAGGAAUACCGAUUGCGAAGGCGAUCUACUAGAACAUUAUUGACGCUGAGACGCGAAAGCGUGGGGAGCAAACAGGAUUAGAUACCCGGGUAGUC
rnacentral:rRNA from 1 species